rnacentral:rRNA from 1 species
CCUACGGGAGGCAGCAGUGAGGAAUAUUGGUCAAUGGGCGAAAGCCUGAUGGAGCACCGCCGCGUGCAGGAUGAAGGCCUUCGGGUUGUAAACUGCUUUUAUAAGCGAGAAAUAUGAUGGUAACUUAUGAAUAAGGAUCGGCUAACUACGUGCCAGCAGCCGCGGUCAUACGUAGGAUCCGAGCAUUAUCCGGAGUGACUGGGUGUAAAGAGUUGCGUAGGUGGCAUAAUAAGUAGCUAGUGAAAUCUGGUGGCUCAACCAUUCAGACUAUUAGCUAAACUGUUAAGCUCGAGACCGUUAGGGGUAACUGGAAUUUCUAGUGUAGGAGUGAAAUCCGUAGAUAUUAGAAGGAACACCAAUAGCGUAGGCAGGUUGCUGGGACGGUUCUGACACUAAGGCACGAAAGCGUAGGGAGCAAACGGGAUUAGAUACCCUUGUAGUC